rnacentral:misc_RNA from 1 species
GCUUUCCCUUCUUAAUCCGAAACCUACACUUGUCUUCCACUCCUCCUCAUACAUUGUGAAAACAAAUUCUCUGCAAUCCUUCUGAUACAUAAAAACAAAGAAAAAUAACUCUCUUCUUCUGUUUUGUAGCUUUCCUUCUCCUUUUUAUUUGCUUCAUCUGUUUCCAGCAUAUGCAUUUUCAAUAAUAUAGGGAGCUGACAGAAACAUUGCGGUUCAACGUUCGCGAUACAAAGAUUGCCGGCGAAUGCAGGUGCUUAAUUUGGAAUAUUGGCUGCUACUAGAGAUGGUCAUUAACCUUCUUGAUGGGAUCAUUUCGGUUAAAAGUGGAGGACAUGAGCACAGAUUCCCAGCUAGAGCCACCGCCUAUCGUUGAAGCAGUACUGAUAGAAACCAAAGGAUCCGAACUGGGCACAAUCAGGUCGGCUUGUUGCUGCAUCUGCUGAUGCUGUUGACUAGUGAAAGCUUCCUCAUUGAUGAUCGAAUUGAGAAAUGAAGAGAAGACAUCAUCGGUGCCGUAAUUGAUAUCUUCGUCUUCUUCGUUGUUAAGCCCUUGAACGUUGCUUCUCAAAUACAUCCCACAAGUACCAUCACCACAAUUCAGCAAGCUUGAAUAUCCAUGGCUUGCAUUAUUAUUGUUCCCGUUAAUGUGGUAGUGAUGAUCCAAGGAAGUGUUUUCGAUGUAUAAAUUUUGUUCGUUGCUGAUGAUUUGAGUACUGCCCCCGCUGUUUGUUUCUUCCACACCAGAAGAAGCAGCUGCACCAGCUGGAUUGUUAUUAUUACUCUUAGGGCUUGAUGUUUUGCGAUUUGCUUUAGAUGAAGAAGCUUUGUGAUGAUCAACAGAUUCAGGCUUGAGUGGCUUGUGGGUUCUUGGAUCGAUUCCUUGGCUUAUGAGCUUCUUGCUCAGGUGAGUGUUCCAGUAAUUCUUGAUCUCAUUAUCUGUACGCCCUGGAAUUCUCCCAGCUAUCAAUGACCACCUGUUUCCCAGAAGUCGAUGUAAGCGAAGAAUGAGAUCUUCUUCAUCAGGAGCGAUCUGGCCGCGUUUUACACAAGGACGGAGGUAGUUCAUCCAUCGGAGACGGCAACUCUUACCGCAGCGGAGAAGUCCAGCUCUUUUAGGCAAGGUACGCCAGCGACCUUCCCCUUCUUUCUUGAUGUAGUUGACAAGAAGCUCAUCUUCUUCAGGCGUCCAUGGCCCUCUCUUUAACCCUACCUUGCUGCAACAUGGUGUUUUCGCUGUUGUCGUCGCUGCUUGUGGUCCUCCUCCUGCAGAAGUAGCCGUUGAUGGAUUCCUCAUCUUCUUCUUAUUCUGCUUCUUCUUCUUUCUCUGGUCUAUGAAUCGUUUAUGUAUAUGUUCUGUUGGCGAUUGGCAUUGGGUAUGGCAAAGAUAAUUGAUAAAGAGAGGGGCUUUUUUGUUUCUUUAUUGUAAUAAAGAGUGUUGUGGUGAUAUACCCACGAGCAGUUAAAGAGAAUGAAGAACACGCGCG